GGCGGGGUUAUGGGGAGGACCCGAGCUUUAUCCGUUAUCAGUGGGUUAAAAGGGUCUGUAGGCGCCCCUGUAACUCAGUGGUGAAAUCUCCCGGCUCAUCCGGGAAAUUGCCAUUGAUACUGCAGGGCUUGAAUUAUUGGGAAGUAACUAGAAUAUGUAGUGUAGCGGUGAAAUGCUUAGAGUCACAUGGAAUCCCGAUUGCGAAGGCAGGUUUCUACCAAUAUAUUGACGCUGAUGGGCGAGAGCGGGGUCGCGCACAGGAUUAGAUCCC
rnacentral:rRNA from 1 species